ensembl:lncRNA
UGUAACCAGAUAUCCCCACCAUUUGUUGUCGCUGCAGUGAUCCACAGGUCACGAGGAGUUUGGAGACGAUCCCAGCUGCCGUAUGGCAAAAAAGUGCGGUAAAGUCUGGACAUGUUGCCAGUCUACUGCAGGACAAAGGUAGACCUAUAACCAUUCACACCAACAUUCAGACCUAUCACCAAUUUAGAAUCACCAGUUCUUCUAAUGGGUUUACUGAGCUUGGACUGUGGGAGGAAGCAUAAGUACCUGGAUGAAACCCACGCAAACAGAUGGCGGCAAUUGACUGAACUACAGAUAUGAAGUCUCUGAGAGCCUUCUGCUGUUUUACAUGAAAAAACCGAGGCUUUGAUGUCCCCCGCCGAAUUGCGCCGCAAUAACAACAGAAGACAUCUCAACACAUCACAGGUAAAGCAAAUGCAACAAUAUGACAACUGGGUUUCAUGCAGUGUUUGGGUAUGCUAAUGCACUAAAC